GGGGCUAUAGCUCAGCUGGGAGAGCGCCUGGAUCGCACCCAGGAGGUCGUCGGUUCGAGCCCGACUAGCUCCA
rnacentral:tRNA from 1 species